rnacentral:rRNA from 1 species
CGUAAUUAGUAUUGCUU